GCCUGUUUGGGAAGUACAGUUAAUAAAAUUGGGAUGACACAGAGAAGAUCAACAUAGCCCCUGCACAAGGGUGACACACAAAUUUGUAAGCCAUUUUCCAUAUUC